AACGCACCUUGCGCCCUUUGGCAUUCCGAAGGGCACGCCUGUUUGAGUGUCAUGUUAAUCUCAAACCUCUCAAGCCUUUUGUUAGGCUCGGAUGGUUUGGACUUGGAGGCUUUGCUGGCGUGCGUCGGCUCCUCUGAAAAGCAUCAGCUGGACUUUGGUUCGCAUGGACGGUGUAAUAGUAAUGUGUUCGCCGGAAGUGCUUGCCUGACACGUCUGCUUCUAAUCGUCCUCGGACGAGGUCCUUUGUGACCUUUGCUUGAUCGUUUGACCUCAAAUCAGGUGGGACUACCCGCUGAACUUAA
rnacentral:misc_RNA from 1 species